rnacentral:rRNA from 1 species
UGAGGAAUAUUGGUCAAUGGACGGAAGUCUGAACCAGCCAAGUAGCGUGCAGGAUGACGGCCCUAUGGGUUGUAAACUGCUUUUGUAUGGGGAUAAAGUUAGGGACGUGUCCCUAUUUGCAGGUACCAUACGAAUAAGGACCGGCUAAUUCCGUGCCAGCAGCCGCGGUAAUACGGAAGGUUCAGGCGUUAUCCGGAUUUAUUGGGUUUAAAGGGAGCGUAGGCUGGAGAUUAAGUGUGUUGUGAAAUGUAGACGCUCAACGUCUGAAUUGCAGCGCAUACUGGUUUCCUUGAGUACGCACAACGUUGGCGGAAUUCGUCGUGUAGCGGUGAAAUGCUUAGAUAUGACGAAGAACUCCGAUUGCGAAGGCAGCUGACGGGAGCGCAACUGACGCUUAAGCUCGAAGGUGCGGGUAUCAAACAGGAUUAGAUAUCCUGGUAGUCCGCACAGUANCGAUGGAUGCCCGCUGUUGGUACCUGGUAUCAGCGGCUAAGCGAAAGCAUUAAGCAUCCCACCUGGGGAGUACGCCGGCNCGGU